rnacentral:misc_RNA from 1 species
GAUGAAGAACGUAGCGAAAUGCGAUAACUAAUGUGAAUUGCAGAAUUCAGUGAAUCAUCGAGUCUUUGAACGCACAUUGCGCCCCCUGGUAUUCCGGGGGGCAUGCCUGUCCGAGCGUCAUUGCUGCCCUCAAGCACGGCUUGUGUGUUGGGCUCCGUCCCCCCGGGGACGGGCCCGAAAGGCAGCGGCGGCACCGAGUCCGGUCCUCGAGCGUAUGGGGCUUUGUCACCCGCUCUGUAGGCCCGGCCGGCGCCAGCCGACAACCCAUCAUCCUUUUCAGGUUGACCUCGGAUCAGGUAGGGAUACCCGCUGAACUUAAGCAUAUCAUAAGCGAGGA